CUGUUAGUUGGUAGUGAUGGGGGAUCUGGUGUGUCACGGAGCGCUCUAGUGGAAAGAGUGAGGCACCUGGGAGUCCGGAGGAGAGGCAGGAGAAGAGGUGAUGGGGGAUAUGGCUGCUUCUCUUGGCUUCUUACUCCAUUGUCCCAACCUGAUUCCCCUGCUGAACACAAUUACAAUAAUGCACAUAAGUCCACGCGGAAUGUGAUAGAAAGAUCUUUUGGGGUGCUGAAAUCUAGGUUUCGGUGUCUGGAUAAGUCUGCAGGGCUUUUGUUGUAUAGUCCCUCAAAGGUGACUAGGAUUGUGUUCUGCUGCUGUUUUCUUCAUAAUAUGUGUUUGUGCCAACAUCUGCCACAUGUUGAGGAGGAGGAGGCUGAUGUUGGUGAUGAAGAAAACAGCCACAAGUAGAGGAGUUAGAAACAUCCGGCGACAGUGUGAGUACAGAUGUAGGGAGGCAGGUAAGGCAAGAACUGAUUCUGCGUUAUUUUACCGACAGCUGAGGGGAUUGUGGUUCCUCGCUUUGUGGACUGGCCAAAAUGACUUCUGGUGGCUGAGCCAACACAGUGGAGAUGCGCCGUUGUGGUGGUGAGGAUGCGGGUGUAGAUACCGCCUCAAGAUGCCGUCUCUUGCUAAACAUCUUCUGGAGACUGGCAGACCCCUGCGAAGGUCGUCUUAGUGGAGGGUGGUGCGAUGAUGAAGUUCCUAUGGGAUAAUAUAAACAUUAUAAUUCUGUCUUUCUAUGUGUUUGCAGAUUAUGUGUAUACACAAAAUACUUACCUGCAUCGCCAGCAUCCACAUCUCUUGGCAGUGUGGUUUGUGUCUUGGCUGUGCUGGCUCUCUUUCGUACUGUCGAAAUAUGA